GCACAAGCGGAGGAGCAUGUGGUUUAAUUCGAUGAUACGCGAGGAACCUUACCUGGGCUCGAACGUAAGAUGACUGUAGGUGAAAAGCUUUACAUCUCUUCGGAGCAUUUUACGAGGUGCUGCAUGGUUGUCGUCAGCUCGUGCCGUGAGGUGUCGGGUUAAGUCCCAUAACGAGCGCAACCCCUACCUUUAGUUGCCAUCAGGUAAUGCUGGGGACUCUAAAGGAACUGCCUACGCAAGUAGUGAGGAAGGCGGGGAUGACGUCAAAUCAGCACGGCCCUUACGUCCAGGGCUACACACGUGCUACAAUGGCCGAUACAGAGGGCAGCUACCUGGUGACAGGAUGCAAAUCUCCAAAGUCGGUCUCAGUUCGGAUCGGAGUCUGCAACCCGACUCCGUGAAGUUGGAUUCGCUAGUAAUCGCGCAUCAGCCAUGGCGCGGUGAAUACGUUCCCGGGCCUU
rnacentral:rRNA from 1 species